CACGGAACGCAGGCCUCCUGGCACCACCAGCACCACCGCCUGGGGAAAUGGGGUCAGCUUUCUGCAGCCGGCCUGUUCUUGGCUCUGGACUCCAGUUGCCCCCAGCAACUUCUCUUGGGCUGUCCCACCUCCAGAAACCACUAUUUGUGAAGCGCCUAUCGUGUUCCCUGGGCCUGGACCGGUGCCCAGCAUCGAUCGGGCCUCAGUCAGGCUUCACUGAAUGAACGAGGGCUGCCUCCACUCCCACACUUUCCGGAGCCUGGGCUGUGAGGGCCCAGCAUUCCAUUUUACAGCCCAUCCAGCCGUCAAUCCUGUGCCUUCAGUUUAUCCAGAAUCCCACCACUGCUCCUGGCCAUCGUGACAUCAGCUCCUCCCCGCCCCUUUGCACUGUCACAGAAGCACCCGUGGUCCCUGCUCUGCCUCUGCUCUGCGGUCAUUCUCCAGAC